UCCUUCAUUCCUUCCUUCCUUCCUCAAAAAAAGUUUCUUAACAUAAUUAAAAAAAUUUUCUGAAGUAUUACAGUCAGAGAGAAAUAACUUCUUCACAUGGAAGAAUAUCAGCUGGGAAUACUAUAAACAAUGUUUGGAACUGAAUGGACAGUUUUGGGGGUUCAUUUUAUCUUUAUUUUUAUUUUAAAUUUAUUUCUUUUUAAGUAGUUUUCCAUGGUCACAUGAUUCAUGUUCUCUUCCUCCCCUCUUCCCUCCCUGUUCCUAGAGCCAACAAGCAAUUCCACUGGGUAUACAUGUAUUAUCACUUGAUAUUUAUUUCCAUAUUAUUCAUUUUUAUAAUUGAGUAGUAUUUUAAAACCAAAACCCCAAAUCGUGUGCCCAUAUAAUAAGUAAUAAAUCAGAUCUUUCUUCUGUGUUUCUACUCCCACAAUUCUUUCUCUGGAUGUGAAUAGCGUUCUUUCUCAUAAGUCCCUCAGGAUUGUCCUGGAUCACUGCAUUGCUAUUAGUAGCAAAGUUGAUUACAUUUGAUCAUCGCACAAUAUUUCAAUUACUAUAUACAACGUUCUCCUGGUUCUACUCUUUGGGGUUUUUUUUAAGCCUUCACCUUUUGUCUUAGAAUUAAUACUGUGUAUUGGUUCCAAGGCAGAAGAGUGGUAAGGGCUAGGCAAUGGAGGUUAAGUGACUUGUCCAGGUUCACAUAGUUAGAAAAUGUCUGAGGUCACAUUUGAAUCCAGGACUGCCCAUUUCUAGGCCUACCUCUCAAUCUAAUGAGCCACCUAGAUGCCUCCAAAUGGAUAAUUUUAUUGCUGGUCUUCACUUGAUUAAAAACAAUCCAUAUUCUUUUUUGUUUGUUUGUUUAAACAUUUUAGUUGUGCCUGACUCUCUAUGACUCUAUUUGAGGUUUUCUUGGCAAAGAUGCUGGAGUGGUUUGCCAUUUCCUUUUCUAGUUCAUUUUCUAGAGGAAGAAACUGAGACAAACAGGGUAGAAUGAUUUGUCCAGGAUCAUUCAGCUAGCAAAUGUCCGAGGCCAGAUUUGAACCCAUAAAGAUGAAUCUCUGAGUCCAAGCCUGGUACUCUAUCCCUUGUGCCACCUAGCUGCCCAUACACCUAGCUGCCUAUAAUCCAAACAUGGUUGUAUAUAAUUGUCUCUAUUGCUUUAUGUGGCCAUGAGUUCUUAUGGUAGUUAAAUAUAAAAAAUACUAUCAUGAGGGCAGCUAGAUGGUUCAGUGGAUUAAAAAGUCAGGCCUGGAGAUGUGAGGUCCUGGGUUCUAACCUGGCCUCAGACACUUCCUAGCUCUGGGACCCUGGGCAAAUCACUUGACUCCCAUUGCUUUCCUCUUACCGCUCUUCUGCCUUGGAACCAAUACACAGUAUUGGUUCUAAGAUGGAAGGUAAGGGUUUUUUUUUUAAGUACCAUAUUUGGAUUGUAGAUUGCAUUGUUGGAGUCAAAAUUGGUAAAAUAAAUGAAUAACUUCUCAAAUGAAGAAUCUUCCUUCUUUAUAUUUCUCUUCUAAUAACCCUUCCUCAAUAGAACCUUCCCUUAAAGAAGGAGUUAAACAAAAACAAACCUCGCAUUUAUCAAGUCUAAUAGUUGCUGGCCACAUUUCAUACCUGGGGGACUCUUGACUGAAGGAACGGAUGAAUGAAAGCAAAAAAAAGCUUGAAGCUUACCAUAUGCCAACCUGUGCUUAAGCCCUAAUAAUGCAAAAGCAAAAGUGAGAGGCCCUGCCCUUAUGGAGUCUAAUGGGGAACACAGCCAAAAUAGAGUAGUGGUGGCUGGAAUGAAAUGCCUUGGUCUGGAACAGUGAUGGCAAACCUAUGGCACGGGGGUCAAAAAGGCACACAGAGCUUUCUUUGUGGGCACUUGGUCACCCUCCUUCCCACCCUACAGAGUUCAUUACUAGAAAGGCAGAGGGGUUCAGAUGGAGUUACUUUCCUUCCCCUCUCCAAUGUGCCUGAUGACAUUUUUUCACAUCACCUGCCACUCUGCCCAGCAGUCCAAUGGAAGUGCUUCCUCCCUCCCCUGUGUGGGGGAGGGAAGGGAGGGGCAAGCCCAGCAUGUUGGGGGGGGAAUGGCACAUAGUCUUUGGGGAGGUGGGCAUGGCACUCAGUCUGGGAGGUGGGCUAAGGUGGGGCCCAGCACUAUGUCUCUAAAAGGUUUUCUAUCACUGGUUUUGAAGGUCACCAGGAUGGUUAGGAGAGCCAUGGAAGAGUUGAUCUUUCAUAUACCAAUGGCAUUGGAGCUUAGGACCAUCUUCACCCUUGGAGUCGAAGGCUUUGAGGGUGACAUAGAGAAUACUCCAGACAGACAGAGGGAAAAGCCCAGCCAGAGUAAGAGGCUCAUCUGGCCCCUUCCAACAGAUAUUCUGCCAGCAGCAAACCACAGACUCUCUAAAGAAUCUCAGCAAUGGAGAAGGUCAGGCUGGAAGCUCUGGAGACCAAUUGGAACCCAGAAGCCCAAGCGAAAGGCAAGAAUGUCACCAAGGAAGGAUCCCAAAUAUAUCUAGGAAGUGUCAAAGAAAGAUUUUUCUCUGAUGUUGACAAAUGCAGACUUUCAAAAACACCAGGAAAAGUAAAGAGUCCCAGAAGCAGAAGUUGUUGUAGGUGGUACAUGGUAUCAAUAGGACCUUGGAGACCUUGUUAGGUCUAGGUGUAGGUUCAGCUGGGUGGAACAGGACUGUGCCUGGAAUCAGGAAGGCCUAAGUUUAAAGCCAACUUCGGAUACUUGCUGAGUGUCUCUGGGCAAUUUAUGCCUCAGUUUACUCAUCUGUAAAAUAUGGGGGAGGUGAUUAUAGCAACUACCUUCCAGGAUAGAUCAAAGGAGAUAAUAAUGAUGAAAUACAUAACACAGUAGCUGGUACAUAGUAAGUGCUUUAUAAAUAUUAUUAUUAUUACUGUUUAGUUCAUCCUUCUGAAGAGAAGGAUUUAUGUGAAGGUCCACUGAAAUCUUUUAAUGAAUCAGGUGCUCAGCACCAGGGCAGAGUAUUCCCCUUUGCACUAUGUGGGCUGAAGAGUGAAACAGAGGACAGAGAGAUAACAGGCAUUUCUAAGCACUUACUAUGUGCCAGGCUAAGUCCAUUUAUGACUUACUAUUUGCUAUUGAUAGGGGAUACAAAGAAAGACAAAAACAUGUGCCCUGUCCUCAAGGGGCUCUCAUAAUGGGGAAGGGAGAGCCAGGGGCAGGGCAGGCAGAAGGGAAUUGAGGAUCAAGAAAAAACCAUGUAAAGAGUGGGAUUUGAGUUGUCUUUUUUUUUUUAAUUCUUAUCUUCCUUCUGAGAAUCAAUACUGAGCAUUGGUUUCAAGGCAGGAGAAUCAUAAGGGCUAGGAAAUAAGGGUUAAGUGACUUGCCCAGGGUCACAUCUGAGGCUAAAUUUGAAUUUAAGACCUCUUGUCUCCAGAUCUGACUCCCAAUCCACUGAGCUACCUAGUUGCUGCUUCCUGAGUUGAGUCUUAAAGGAAGUCAGUAGUCAGAGAUAAGGAGAGGGUCUUCCAGGAAUAAGAGAAUAAAGUUGGGAGAUGGAAUGUUGGGUGUAAGGAAGAGCAAGAAGUCCAGAGAAGCUCGAUUGGAGAGAAUAGACAAAGAAGAGUGAGGUGUAAGAAGGCUGGAAAGGUAAGAAGGGGCCAGUUUUUUUUUAAGUUUGUUUAUUUAUUUAAUAAUUAAUUUAGAAUAUUUUUUCAUGGUUAAAUGAAUCAUGUUCUUUCCCUCCCCUCCCCUCACCCCCCAUAGCCAAUGAGCAAUUCCACUGGGUUUUACAUGUGUCAUUGAUCAAGACCUAUUUCCAUAUUAUUAAUAUUUGCACUAGGGUGAUCAUUUAGAAUCUACAUCCAGAAGGGACCAGUUCUGAAACGGAGUGUAAAAUCAAACAGAGAAUUUUUAAAUUUAACCCUGAAGGUAAUAGGGAAUUCUUAGAGUUUACUGAGUUGGGGGAGUAAUAGGAUCAGAUUUGUAAUUUAGUUGAACCAGAACUGAGGAUUCACAUAAAAGGCAUUAAACAAUAAAAUCAACUUUUCUCUUUCCUAGUAGUGCUCAAGAGGAGGACUGGUGAAAGCCUCAAGGUGAUGGAGUAUUGGAGAUUGAAUAGACUAAGUCAAUGAUGGUGAACCUAUAGCAUGGGUGCAAAAGAUGGCACACAGAGCACUCUCUGUGGGCACAGGACUGCCCCCUCCCCCAAGAGUUCAUUACUAGAAAUACAGAAGGACUUGGAUGGAGCUGCUCCCCUCCCCCUCUAACCUUAUGACAUUUUUUUUCACACCCCCCACCCCUCUGCCCAGCAGCCCAAUGGAAACACACAAAGGAUAAGUUGGGCAGUUCAUAGUCAGCAGAACUAGAGAGAAGCAAAGUACUUGGACCACUCUCCUUCUCCUUUCUACACUGGCUGAGGACAUUCCUCACUUCACCCACCCCUCUGACCAGCAGCUGUAAAGGGUGAAAUUAUGGUUGAGACUGAAAAAAAUCUAAAUUUAAGUGGUCGUCAAAGGAAAUCCCAAAUAAUAAAAUACCCAAGUCAGCUGCCAAAUUUUAUGGUGAUUUAAUUGAUAUAGUAGAGAAGAUUUUAAGAAGGAGGAAGGAAGGGACUAGUACCGGGCAGGAAGAUAGGAGAUCUAGAAAGUAAGGUUUUGAGUGUGAAGGAGGAAAGAAUCAGCUUGACCUCCAAAGAGGCUUAGCUAAGAUGCCUGAACCUGAAAUCAACUCCAGGGCAAACUCACCACCCAACACUCCAAGAUGUCGGAACGCUUAGCACGCUGCCAGUCAGAGUCAUCUCUCCAAGGAAAGAGAGAGAGGCAGCCUGUGACGUGCCUUAUAUGGACAUUUUUACAUCACUUUUAUGCAUCUCAUCUGUACCAAUGAGGACUUAGCUUGACUUAGGACAGCCCAAAGGUUUGUCCUUUUUUUGCACAUGUCUGUUGAAGGCCAUCUCCUCAGAUAAUUAAAUCUUGAGUUUGAUGCAGGCCUUUCAAAAUCUUGUUAAACUGAGUAGGGUGGAGAAUGUGGGUUUUCCCAGACCUGAUUCUGUUAUUCCAAGUGUCUCCAUUGUUAUUCAUCAGGAAAUAGCUAAAUCAGAUCUUCUAAAGAAUGGUCUGAUUAGGGUGGAAUAGUUUUAAAAUUCACACAGCCCAAUGGAAGCACUUUCUCCCUCCCCUUUGUGGGAUGGGAGGGUGUUGAGGCAUUCCUGGCACUCAAUCUCUGGGAAACAUCCAGCACUCCAACUCCAAAAGGUUUGCCAUCACUGGACUAGGUUAUAGCCUUUGAACUUUGAAAGAUUGAAAGAGUCACUAACUAGAGGUCUGAUAGAGUCUAUAUCAUCUUUCAAUGUCAACUAAGACCAGUGUGUCUGAGUGGCUCUAACGAGUAAUCAUCUUGGUCCAGGUCUGAUGUAUUGAAGACCAGAUAUAGUGUCCUGUGAGCAAGUGAGUGACUGUAUCCAUUGGCAAAGCCAUAUUUAGAAUUGAACUUAGUGGAGUGAAUGCUUCAAAGCAAUCACCAUAAAAGUUUUCCCCAGUUUUAUGUUAAAACAAUUUCCAACAUUUUAAAGAGAAUGUGAAGGGUCAGUUAGGUGACUCAGUGGAUUGAGAGCCAGGGGUUCAAAUCUGGCCUCAGAUACUUCCUAGCUAUAAUGACUUGAUCCUGGGCAUUGCCUAGCCUUAUUGCUCUUCUACCUUGGAACCAAAACACAGUAUUGAUUCUCAGACAGAAGGUUUAAAAAAAAAAAGAAUUUGGAGUUUUGAAUUCCCUCCUUUCCUCUCUCCUUCCUUCUACCCCUCCCAGAUCACAGCAAUCUGAUAUAGAUUUCAUAUGUGCAAUCAUUUAAAACAUUUUUCCAUAUUAAUCCUUUUGAACCACUGUAAAUUGAAACUUCCCAGGGACUGAGUUUGUAGAAAGGAAACUGUGUCGCCAGGUGCAAGAAUGUUUUUGUACUUUGGUUCUUGCUAUAUCCUUUUAAGUUUAUAUCCCUUUGAAAAAGCUAACUGAUAUGAAUUGGUUAACUUAAUUAUUACUAUUUAAUGAAUUAAGAUGAAUAAAUAAUAAGUUAGUAAUUGGAGCACUAAUCAUGAGUCAAUUAAUGAUAUGCAAUGAUGCUGAGUAUACCUAGCAGUUGAUAUUGAGGACAAGACACUGGAUUCAGGGCUCAAGUCAAUAGCUUUGGAGAAAAGCCCAUUCAUUGCCUCUUAGAUUUAUCCCUUGAAUACUGAGGGGAGACGUAGCCAGCUUUACUCUGAAGAUCCAACCUGCCAGGGCAUAUUUGGAUUGAGAUGGUAAGUCUAGAAUGAAGCUCUAACUGCAAUGACCUCUUAUUAAGCUCUCUGCUUCUGGUCCCCCCAUCCCUUAAUCCAUCUCUCACAUAGUUACCAAAUAAAAUACACAUCUAUGUCUCUUGUCCAUAGUUCACUAUUGUGUCUAGCACCAGGGAUCUCAACCUGGGGUGCCCCGCCCCAGCAGGGUAUGAGAGGGAUGAGGAAGCUUAUCAAGGAGGUCUGGAGAAUAUUUUAUAAGUAACAAUGCUGUGAUCACCUUUGACCGAGUUGUUUGCUCUCUCAGGGGAGGGAGAGAGAGAAUUUGGAACUCAAAAUUUUGGAAAACAAAUAUUAAAAAUUAUCAUUAUGUGUUAUUGGGAAAAUAUAUUUUAAAAGAGUAAAAAGGGAAAAUGGUUAUUUUGUUGAAAUAUUGCAAAAAUUCUAAAUUGAUUUCCAAUGACUGAAAUUCCAAUGUGUUUGUUUUACCAGAGAACAAUCAAUUGGUUUAGUUUAUUUUGUAUAUUCACAUCCAUAGUAAACUCUAGAAUCGAUUUCCUUUCAUAUUAAAUAGGGGCUAAGAGAAGGUUUACUGAAACAUCAAGGAAUCCCGGGGCCAUAAACAGUUAGGAACCCUUGAUUUAACACAAGACAAUAAAAUACAAACUCCUCAGCCUGCUAUUGAAAGACCGCCAUGAUAUGGUUCCUAUUUCUUUUUCCAGAUAUUUCAUUUUGCCCUCAGUUGAACUGGCUGCUAGCAGUUUCCAGUACAUGGCAUUCCCUCUUCAACCUCCACAUCAUUACAGAGUUGGUCUCCUGGGUCUGUAAUAUGUUCCCACCUCCUCCCCAACCCUGCCCCCCCAUUCACCUUAUAAAACCCUUGGCUUCCUUCAAAUCACAGCUCCAGGGCCCCUCCUGUCCAGGGGCUUUCCUGAUUCCUUCCAGUUGUUAGUGCUCUGCCUUUCUUGAGAUUGAUCUGUCUUACCGGCAUAUAUUUAUUUGUGUAUGCGUUGUAUAUCCCUAGAAGAAUAUAAAUUCCUUGAAGGCAGGACUGUUGGUUUGUUGGGUGUUUGUUUUGUCUUUGUAUUCCCAGUGCCUAGCAUAGUGUCUGGUCCGUGUUGUUCAAUGGUUUUUUUCAGCUGUGACCCAUUUUUCAUGACCCCAUUUGGUGUUUUCUUGGCAGAGAUACUGCAGUAGUUUUCCAUUUCCUUCUCUAGCUCAUUUUGCAGUUGGGGAAACUGAGGUAAACAGGGGUUAAGUGUCUUUAUCUAGGGUCAUCUAGCUAGUAAGUGUCUGAGGCUAGAUUUGAACUCAGGAAGAUAAAUCUUCUUGACUCAGGUCCAAAGCUCUUCCUGUCCCCACCCCAGCCCUGCAAAUGCUAGAGUGGUUUGCCAUUUCUUUCUCUAGUAGAUGAAGACAAAGAGAGGUUAAGUGACUUGACCAGAAGCUUACAACUAGUAAGUAUCUGAGACUGGAUUUGAACUGGUCUUCUGAUGGCAGGUCCAGCACUGUAUCCAUUGAGCCACCUAGCUGCUUCCUAUCAACAUUUUAGUCAUUUUUAUUUCAUAAUUCAAAAUACUAUUACUAAUUUUGAGCAUGCUUUCACAAAGUCAGGUACAGUUUGCAGUUAUUAUUUUCAAAAAUAUUCUUGUCCUUUGGCAACUUAUCUAUUGCUGCUUGGUCUUAUAUAUUUAUUUGUGUCUAUUUUUUAUGUAUUUUAGACAUGCAACUUUUGCCGACAAUAUUUGAGGUGCAGAUUUUCCCUCUUCCAUUUCUCUUCUCAUUCUACCUUUGUUGUUUUUAUAUAUACUUUGCUUUUCCCAAACUGCCUCCUCUCCCCAAUAGCCAUGGCUGCCAAUAACAUUGACCCCUCUAAUGAAGGUUAGCAGUCACUAAUUUCUUUAUGUAAACAUAGGAAUUUGGUAGUGAAGCAAAGGAACAGUCUAUGGAUAUGGGCAGAACCUGUAAGACUCCUCUCACUGUAACACAGAAAUAUUUACUCUUUUCUCCUUCCUCUCACCGAGAGACACCAUAGCAGCUGCUUCCUUCUCUAACUCAGAGCCAUUGGAAAGGGAUAUUAUCUUUAAGGGGGCACAUUGAGUCAUCUUGUCAAACUUGCUCUGAUCAACACCAUGUCUACUGCUCAUAUUACCCAGGUCCACCUAUUAUCUACUGCAUUGCUAACCACAGUAGCAAGAGUGGUAACAUCUUUUAAAGUCUUUAUGGGGAAGACCUGGUGUGGUUAGGUGGCACAAGUGGAUAGAACACCUGGCCUGGAGUCAGGAAAGCCUGACUUCCUGGGGAAGUCACUUAACUCUGUUUGCCUCAGUUUCCUCGUCUCUAAAACGAGCUAGAGAAGGAAAUGGCACACUACUUUAAUAUCUUUGCUAAGAAAACCCCAAGUGGGGUCACAAAGACUCAGACACAACUGAAAUAACUGAACAACAAUGAAAGAGAAGACCAAAGGAGCACAUAUCCAGAGACAACUAAGCGUUUGACUCUGAAAAAUCCAUGUGAUUCCAGGAUGGAGGAUGAAUUCUGACAUUCAACCUGAUUUGCUUCCCUUCUGGAACUUCUCUAAGAAGUCUCCACAACACACACACACACACACACUCACUCACAUUGUUUCUUCCUGUAAAAUGGAAACUCCCUGAUAUUAAGAAUUGGUUCAUUUUGUUUAUUUGUAUCCCCAGCAUCUUGGACAGUAUUUACAAUGGGAUAUAGUAGGUGUUUAAUAAAUGCUUGCUUUAUGAUUUAUUAUAUUUUAUUAUCUUUUUAUCUUUUAUUUAGUAAAGAAUUCUGCCCCUAGCCUUAAUUAUGAAAGAUGCCUGACACUGGAUCCCUUCAAAGUUUUAUGACCUCCACCUCUGCAAAAAAAAGGAGGAAGAAGAAGAAUAAGGAGGAGGAGGAGGAAGAAGAAGAGGAGGAGGAGGAGAAGAAGGAAGAUGACUUUUAAAAAACUAUUGAUUUAAAAAAACAUUAUAAAGGGAGAAUUACAUAGUAUGAUGGUAACAGAGAAUUGAAUUACUGGAAAUAUGGAGGAAGGAGUGAUUAAUGUGAAUGAGGGUUUCUUCCCUAUUCAAUAAACCCCAGUAAGAAAUAGAAAUUUCUCUUGUUGGUUUUCAUUUAUUUAUUUAUUUAUUCAUUCAUUCACUUAUUUUUAUUCAUUCAUUCAUUUUAAACCUUCUGUCAUGGAAUCAGUACUGUGUAUUGGUUCCAAGCCAGAAGAACAGUAAGGGCUGGGCAAUGGGGGUUAAGUGACUUGCUUAGGGUCACACAGCUGGGAAGUGGCUAAGGCUAAAUUUGAACCUAGGACUUCCUGUCUCUAGGCCUGGCUCUCAAUCCACUAAUCUUGUUGGCUUUUAAAGACUUUACCAACGUGGCCUCUUUCUACCUUCUCAGUUUUCCAGUUUUUAUCUCCCUCCAUGUAUUUGGAUCCCUCUGAUCCAAAGAUAUUGGGCUUCUUGCUGUUCCCAGCCCAAGACAGUCUGUCUCUGAACUCUGCCCUUUUUCACUGACUGUUCCCUGUGCCUGGAAUGUUAUCUCUCCUCACCUCUGCCUUUCAGCUUCCCUGGCUGCCUUGGAGACUCAGCUUAAAAUCCACCAUGUACAGUUCCUUCCCUCCUAGAAUGCCUCUCCUUUAUGCUUUAUCUUUUUAAAAACCAAAACCCUUCCCUU